CUGAUGCAGCGACGCCGCGUGAGGGAUGACGGCCUUCGGGUUGUAAACCUCUGUUAGCAUCGAAGAAGCGAAAGUGACGGUAGGUGCAGAGAAAGCGCCGGCUAACUACGUGCCAGCAGCCGCGGUAAUACGUAGGGCGCGAGCGUUGUCCGGAAUUAUUGGGCGUAAAGAGCUUGUAGGCGGUUGGUCGCGUCUGCUGUGAAAGGCUGGGGCUUAACCCUGGUUUUGCAGUGGGUACGGGCUAACUAGAGUGCAGUAGGGGAGACUGGAAUUCCUGGUGUAGCGGUGGAAUGCGCAGAUAUCAGGAGGAACACCGAUGGCGAAGGCAGGUCUCUGGGCUGUAACUGACGCUGAGAAGCGAAAGCAUGGGGAGCGGACAGGAUUAGAUACCCUGGUAGUCCAUGCCGUAAACGUUGGGCACUAGGUGUGGGGGACAUUCCACGUUUUCCGCGCCGUAACUAACGCAUUAAGUGCCCCGCCUGGGGAGUACGGCCGCAAGGCUAAAACUCAAAGAAAUUGACGGGGGCCCGCACAAGCGGCGGAGCAUGCGGAUUAAUUCGAUGCAACGC
rnacentral:rRNA from 1 species